CGUAGGUAAAGGCCGCUGGUUUUUAAGACGCUGCAGAUGCAGUCGUCGAGCUAACAAGCAGCCGGACAAGGUGAAAUGUUCCCGUUAACAUCCCUUGAGGCCUACACUAGGCAGCACACCAAAUGGGGCGACCGCCCUGCCGCCGGGGAGCAUUCAAUCGUCGGCGGCACACCAUCCCCCAUUCUUCCCGUUCCCCAACGUGAAGUGGCACCAUGGUCGCCACUCGCCACGCGCUCGCCGCAGGAGCAGGAGCAGCGACUGCGGGCCAGCCAGCCUCCGGUUGGGUAGCUGUUCUGCGCAACAGCCCGAGGGCGCGGAUGGAGGAGGGACCAAACAGGAGCGGAGGGGAAGGCAGGCGGUACAACUGAUGAGCGGGUACCUGUUCUACGAUAGCGGUCGCUUCAGACACGAAAGAUGUUCUUGCGAGGGACAUGCUGAUCAUCGCCUUCGAGUAAGAUGCUCCAACCAUGAGGAGCAUAGGCACAACUAGCAGGGAGAGCAGGCCGACCUCCCAACAGCACGCGAAGGCAACAAUGAUAGCAACUAAGAACGUGGAGAAGUUUGACAUGAAGUGACCCAUCUGGAGAAAGCAAUGAUAAGCCAAACUUUUAAGAUCUCUGUUAUCAUCGAGCAGUUUUUUUUUUUUGUUUUUUUGGGGGUACUUCUUCUCUUUGGUUAGUUAGUGACUCUUGCAAGUGACAUGUUAUGAGGAGGCCGGACGAGGAAAAUCAAUUACCUUUUCACCAAUUGCGUCUUGUAUGACACUCAUGUGGUUGGUUGCCCCAGCCAUGAUACUUGCAGUGGUUAAGUCGGUGUCGAAGGCUCCGAUAUCUUGGCUGAGCACUGAUCUCAGAUAUGCUA